CGCGAAGAACCUUACCUGGUCUUGACAUCCACAGAAUUUUUUAGAAAUAAGAAAGUGCCUUUUAGGAACUGUGAGACAGGUGCUGCAUGGCUGUCGUCAGCUCGUGUUGUGAAAUGUUGGGUUAAGUCCCGCAACGAGCGCAACCCUUGUCCUUUUUUGCCAGCGGUUUGGCCGGGAACUACAAGGAGACUGCCGGUUAUAAACCGGAGGAAGGUGGGGACGACGUCAAGUCAUCAUGGCCCUUACGACCAGGGCUACACACGUGCUACAAUGGUGUAUACAAAGAGAAGCAAAUUCGCGAGGAUGAGCAAAUCUCAUAAAGUACAUCUUAGUUCGGACUGGAGUCUGCAACUCGACUCCACGAAGUCGGAAUCGCUAGUAAUCGUGAAUCAGAAUGUCA
rnacentral:rRNA from 2 species